rnacentral:rRNA from 2 species
AUGCAAGUCGAGCGGACAGAUGGGAGCUUGCUCCCUGAUGUUAGCGGCGGACGGGUGAGUAACACGUGGGUAACCUGCCUGUAAGACUGGGAUAACUCCGGGAAACCGGGGCUAAUACCGGAUGGUUGUUUGAACCGCAUGGUUCAGACAUAAAAGGUGGCUUCGGCUACCACUUACAGAUGGACCCGCGGCGCAUUAGCUAGUUGGUGAGGUAACGGCUCACCAAGGCGACGAUGCGUAGCCGACCUGAGAGGGUGAUCGGCCACACUGGGACUGAGACACGGCCCAGACUCCUACGGGAGGCAGCAGUAGGGAAUCUUCCGCAAUGGACGAAAGUCUGACGGAGCAACGCCGCGUGAGUGAUGAAGGUUUUCGGAUCGUAAAGCUCUGUUGUUAGGGAAGAACAAGUGCCGUUCAAAUAGGGCGGCACCUUGACGGUACCUAACCAGAAAGCCACGGCUAACUACGUGCCAGCAGCCGCGGUAAUACGUAGGUGGCAAGCGUUGUCCGGAAUUAUUGGGCGUAAAGGGCUCGCAGGCGGUUUCUUAAGUCUGAUGUGAAAGCCCCCGGCUCAACCGGGGAGGGUCAUUGGAAACUGGGGAACUUGAGUGCAGAAGAGGAGAGUGGAAUUCCACGUGUAGCGGUGAAAUGCGUAGAGAUGUGGAGGAACACCAGUGGCGAAGGCGACUCUCUGGUCUGUAACUGACGCUGAGGAGCGAAAGCGUGGGGAGCGAACAGGAUUAGAUACCCUGGUAGUCCACGCCGUAAACGAUGAGUGCUAAGUGUUAGGGGGUUUCCGCCCCUUAGUGCUGCAGCUAACGCAUUAAGCACUCCGCCUGGGGAGUACGGUCGCAAGACUGAAACUCAAAGGAAUUGACGGGGGCCCGCACAAGCGGUGGAGCAUGUGGUUUAAUUCGAAGCAACGCGAAGAACCUUACCAGGUCUUGACAUCCUCUGACAAUCCUAGAGAUAGGACGUCCCCUUCGGGGGCAGAGUGACAGUGGUGCAUGGUUGUCGUCAGCUCGUGUCGUGAGAUGUUGGGGUUAAGUCCCGCAACGAGCGCAACCCUGAUCUAGUUGCCAGCAUUCAGUGGGCACUCUAAGGUGACUGCGGUGACAAACCGGAGGAGGGGGAUGACGUCAAAUCAUCAUGCCCCUUAUGACCUGGGCUACACACGUGCUUCAA